UAAUAUCAUAUUAAACUCAGACCUGAAUCAUGAAAUACUCUAUUUAUAAACCAAUUUAACAUUGAAUAUUAAUGGAGCAAAAAUACAAUAAAUAUUUUUGAACAAUAAUCAGAUUGGAUUUUAUUUAAAAACAAAAAAAAAUAGUACAAAAAUCUUAAACUCACAGCCCAGAAAGUUAAAAGCCUAAAACAAAAAGCCCAAGUCCUAAUAAAACAAAGCCCAAAUAGGAUAAAACUAAACAAUAAAACCAAUAGAAAAUAAAACAAAACUCAAG
rnacentral:lncRNA from 1 species